rnacentral:rRNA from 1 species
GAUGAACGCUGGCGGCGUGCCUAAUACAUGCAAGUCGAGCGAACGGAUGAGAAGCUUGCUUCUCUGAUGUUAGCGGCGGACGGGUGAGUAACACGUGGAUAACCUACCUAUAAGACUGGGAUAACUUCGGGAAACCGGAGCUAAUACCGGAUAAUAUUUUGAACCGCAUGGUUCAAUAGUGAAAGACGGUCUUGCUGUCACUUAUAGAUGGAUCCGCGCUGCAUUAGCUAGUUGGUAAGGUAACGGCUUACCAAGGCAACGAUGCCUAGCCGACCUGAGAGGGUGAAUCGGCAACACGGAAACUGAGCACCGGCCAAGCUCCCACGGGGAGGAAGAGGUAGGAAACUUCCCGAAUUGGGCGAAAGCCUGCGGGAGAAACCCCGGGGGAGUGAGAAAGGUCUCCGGAUCGAAAACCUUUGUAAUUAGGGAAGAAAAUAUGUGUAAGUACUUGUGACGUCUUGACCGGUCCCUAACAAGAAAACACCGGUUAAUUCGGU